GACGAACGCUGGCGGCGUGCCUAAUACAUGCAAGUAGAACGCAGUUGCGAACGGGUGAGUAACGCGUAGGUAACUGCCUCAUAGCGGGGGAUAACUAUUGGAAACGAUAGCUAAUACCGCCUACUGUGAGCUGUACCUGCUUUGUAUUGGCUAGUUGGUGAGGUAAAGGCUCACCAAGGCGACGAUACAUAGCCGACCUGAGAGGGUGGUCCGCCACACUGGGACUGGGAAAAGGCCCAGACUCCUACGGGAGGGAGGCGUAGGGAAUUUUUGGAAAUGGGCGGAAGUCUGACCGAGCAACGCCGCGGGAGUUAAGAAGGUUUUUGGGUUGUAAAGCUCCGUUGUGAGAGAAGCGGUAACUAACGAGAAAGCGACGGCUAACUACGUGCCAGCAGCCGCGGUAAUAC
rnacentral:rRNA from 1 species